CCUUACACAUGCAAGUCGAACGGUAACAGGUCUUCGGACGCUGACGAGUGGCGAAGGGGUGAGUAAUACAUCGGAACGUGCCCAGUCGUGGGGGAUAACUACUCAAAAGAGUAGCUAAUACCGCAUACGAUCUGAGGAUGAAAGCGGGGGACCUUCGGGCCUCGCGCGAUUGGAGCGGCCGAUGGCAGAUUAGGUAGUUGGUGGGAUAAAAGCUUACCAAGCCGACGAUCUGUAGCUGGUCUGAGAGGACGACCAGCCACACUGGGACUGAGACACGGCCCACACUCCUACGGGAGGCAGCAGUGGGGAAUUUUGGACAAUGGGCGAAAGCCUGAUCCAGCAAUGCCGCGUGCAGGAUGAAGGCCUUCGGGUUGUAAACUGCUUUUGUACGGAACAAAAAAGCUCCUUCUAAUACGGGGGGCCCAUGACGGUACCGUAAGAAUAAUCACCGGCUAACUACGUGCCACAACCUCGUUAAUACGUAGGGUGCGAGCGUUAAUCGGAAUUACUGGGCGUAAAGCGUGCGCAGGGGGUUAUGAAAAACAGAUAUGAAAUCCCCGGGCUCAACCUGGGAACGGCCUUUGUGACUGCUUGGCUAGAGUACGGAAU
rnacentral:rRNA from 1 species